AAAGAUAUGAGCUUUCUGGUUGAUAUCUUCAUUUGGAUUUUGAGACAUCCCCAGGCGGGAAGGGUAGUUUAGCAGUGGUUUCAAUGCUCAAAGCGCAAAGUUUAGCUUCGGGCGAUGGAUUCUGAAGUUAGAAGUUUGAAAAUUCGACUACUUGAAGUUAUAUUAAAAUCUGCAUGGUCAAACGUUAGCUUAAUAUUGUGUAUUGUGAGA
rnacentral:misc_RNA from 1 species